GUUUUACGUUCUGACCCAAGGUGCUGAGAAUGCAUACACAUGUUCAAACUGCUAGCAAAUUUGUUCAACUCUGAUUCAAACUAAUUAUGCAAACCCAUGUCAUGAACAUGUUCAUAGUCUAGUUAGUUAUCUCUACUCAAGAAGACUAUUUGAUCAAGGCAUAAGAUUUUGGAACUGUUAAUUAACUGACCUCAGACUUUGCAGACCCCACCAAAAGC
rnacentral:lncRNA from 1 species